CAGCAGCAGCCACGGUAAUACGAAGGGGGCUAGCGUUGUUCGGAAUUACUGGGCGUAAAGCGCACGUAGGCGGAUAUUUAAGUCAGGGGUGAAAUCCCAGAGCUCAACUCUGGAACUGCCUUUGAUACUGGGUAUCUUGAGUAUGGAAGAGGUGAGUGGAACUCCGAGUGUAGGGGUGAAAUUCGUAGAUAUUCGGAGGAACACCAGUGGCGAAGGCGGCUCACUGGUCCAUUACUGACGCUGAGGUGCGAAAGCGUGGGGAGCAAACAGGAUUAGAUACCCCUGUAGUCCCUGUCUCUUAUAC
rnacentral:rRNA from 1 species